UGCCUGAUCUUGCUUCUGAGAUUCUUCAAGGCAGAUGCUCAGAAACCAACCAACUUGAGCAGGCCUGGAGCUGCAUCUCUUGUGAUCUGAUCUUCACAGGGAAGAAUGCCCAGCCUCUUGGGACUGUCGAUGAUGGCACUGUGGCUGCAACUGACAAGGGUAAACAGUCAACUAGCAGAAGAGAAUCCCUGGGCCCUGAGCAUCCAUGAGGGCGAAAAUGUCACCGUGAAUUGUAGUUACAAGACAGCUAUAGUUGCCCUACAGUGGUACAAACAGAAGUCAGGUGGAGGCCCUGCCCUGCUAAUGUUAAUACGUGCAAAUGAGAGAGAGAAGCGCAGUGGAAGACUAAGAGCCACCCUUGACAGCUCCAGCCAGAGCAGCUCCCUGUCCAUCACUGCUGCUCAGUCUGCAGACACUGCUGAGUACUUCUGUGCUACAGACACACAGUGUGCGGCAGGCACCUGCAGCCCUGACACAAACCCUCAGAGCUGCUUCCUAGACCUCUAGGGUGUGUGAAGUGCUUCUGUGUCAUUCGAAUGUAAUUCUUUUACAUUUGCAAUUCUUUUUAUUUUACUUUAUUUUCCUAACCAGUGUUGCAAGGAAAAGACAUAGGAAAUUGAGUCCUGAUACCUUGAAAUUCCAAGAAGGAGGUCCUACUGACCGCUUACACUGGUUUAGUUAUAUGGAACUACACUGGUUUAGGCAAGAUCUUGGGAAAUGGCCAGAUUCCUCUUCAGCUUAUAUCCCACUGUGGAUAAAACAACACAAAACAAAACAACAAAAAAUAAAACAAAACAAAACAACAACAACGAAACAAAACCACACACACACACACACCCAAAACACAAAACAGAAAGGCUUAAAUCCACGGUAUCAAAGGAAGAAUGCUCUCUACACAGCACUCCAUCUAAGCUUGAAGGCCA